UGGGGAAUAUUGGACAAUGGGCGCAAGCCUGAUCCAGCAAUGCCGCGUGAGUGAUGAAGGCCUUAGGGUUGUAAAGCUCUUUCGCACGCGACGAUGAUGACGGUAGCGUGAGAAGAAGCCCCGGCUAACUUCGUGCCAGCAGCCGCGGUAAUACGAAGGGGGCUAGCGUUGUUCGGAAUUACUGGGCGUAAAGGGCGCGUAGGCGGCCUGUUUAGUCAGAAGUGAAAGCCCCGGGCUCAACCUGGGAAUAGCUUUUGAUACUGGCAGGCUUGAGUUCCGGAGAGGAUGGUGGAAUUCCCAGUGUAGAGGUGAAAUUCGUAGAUAUUGGGAAGAACACCGGUGGCGAAGGCGGCCAUCUGGACGGACACUGACGCUGAGGCGCGAAAGCGUGGGGAGCAAACAGGAUUAGAUACUCUGGUAGUCCACGCCGUAAACGAUGAAUGCUAGACGUCGGGGUGCAUGCACUUCGGUGUCGCCGCUAACGCAUUAAGCAUUCCGCCUGGGGAGUACGGCCGCAAGGUUAAAACUCAAAUGAAUUGACGGGGUCAUAGCUGUUUCCU
rnacentral:rRNA from 1 species